AUGAUGUCUACGGACCAAAGGGGGCUUUCGGGCUCUCGCUCAAAGAGGAACCUAAGCGAGAUUAGCUAGUUGGUGGGGUAAAGGCCUACCAAGGCGACGAUCUCUAGCUGUUCUGAGAGGAAGAUCAGCCACACUGGGACUGAGACACGGCCCAGACUCCUACGGGAGGCAGCAGUGGGGAAUAUUGCACAAUGGGGGGAACCCUGAUGCAGCCAUGCCGCGUGUGUGAAGAAGGCCUUCGGGUUGUAAAGCACUUUCAGACGUGAGGAAGGGUUGUUGGUUAAUACCCAGNCAACAUUGACGUUAGCGUCAGAAGAAGCACCGGCUAACUCCGUGCCAGCAGCCGCGGUAAUACGGAGGGUGCGAGCGUUAAUCGGAAUUACUGGGCGUAAAGCGCACGCAGGCGGUUUGUUAAGCUAGAAGUGAAAGCCCCGGGCUCAACCUGGGAAGGCCUUUUAGAACUGGCAAGCUAGAGUCUUGGAGAGGGGAGUGGAAUUCCAGGUGUAGCGGUGAAAUGCGUAGAUAUCUGGAGGAACAUCAGUGGCGAAGGCGGCUCCCUGGCCAAAGACUGACGCUCAUGUGCGAAAGUGUGGGUAGCGAACAGGAUUAGAUACCCUGGUAGUCCACACCGUAAACGCUGUCUACUAGCUGUGUGUGAUUUUAAAUUGUGCGUAGCGAAGCAAACGCGCUAAGUAGACCGCCUGGGGAGUACGGCCGCA
rnacentral:rRNA from 1 species